UUUACAUGCACUUAUACAUAUUAAUAAAAAAUUCAUAGAAAAAAUGUGUUUUUAUUCACUCUGGCUAAGCAAAAUAUUAUUGUACGUGUCAUUUUUAAGUAAAAGGAGUCAACACUCCGACCUACGGUCAAGAUUUAUGUUUAGUUAGUAUAGUCGUGGGUCAGCAUGUAUUUUUUAGUUCUCGUUAGUGUCUACAAUUUACUGUGCUCAUAUCAAAUUCAACCCUAAACUAUUAGGAUGUUAAUCCACUGUGCAUUAACCGAAAGGUGGUCAUUGUAGAGUAAAUCAAAAUAUUAAAAUUUUCAUAAAAAAAAAAAUAAAUAGAAUAUUAUACGACAAGGUGUUAAUACUGUCGUUUUUAAUUUCGCACCUGACCUAUCAUUAUAAUACAGUUUUCCAUUAACUUUUUAUAAUCAUUCAUUUACUGCUUUUUAUGUGGCUCAUGUGAAAAUAUUCAUCAAAAUUUUAACUCAUAUUUUUUUGUUUAUUUGGAUAACUAUCAACUAAACCAAAUUAACUACAUUUUUUAAAAGAAUUUUUUUAAUGUUUGAAGAUUGCUCUUCUUCAAAUUGUAAAAAAUGCAAAAAAUAAUGACACUCUUCUCAAAUGUCAUGACGACGUGAUUUGCGAAUUCCAGUGGCAGUGAACAUUGUGUAGUGUUUGGAAUGACAUUAUUAUACAAUUCGCCGACAAUCAAUAAAUAAUUUGUGUAGAUGUAAUACGUAGUUUUUUAGCAUAUCGCAUUUCACCUGGUUAAAACUCAGCAUUUGGCAGUUUUUUGAUUCAACUGAAACGACCGGGACCGAAAAAAUAUGAAUUUGAAGUGAAAUAUUACAAUGAUGGCGUUCCAAGAAGAAAGCGCUGCUUCAUAGUGCGCCGUGGCGGAGGUUGAAUAACCCGCAAUUAUAUAGCUGUACUGUACUGUAUUGAUUUUGUAUUUCCAACGGCAGUAUUCCGAGAAUUCAUUUGUUCGCGCU